GGCGAACGGGUGAGUAAUAUAUCGGAACGUGCCUAGUAGUGGGGAACAACCAGCCGAAAGGUUGGCUAAUACCGCAUACGACUUACGGGUGAAAGCAGGGGAUCUUCGGACCUUGCGCUAUUAGAGCGGCCGAUAUCUGAUUAGGUAGUUGGUGGGGUAAAGGCCUACCAAGCCGACGAUCAGUAGCUGGUCUGAGAGGACGAUCAGCCACACUGGAACUGAGACACGGUCCAGACUCCUACGGGAGGCAGCAGUGGGGAAUUUUGGACAAUGGGGGAAACCCUGAUCCAGCCAUUCCGCGUGAGUGAAGAAGGCCUUCGGGUUGUAAAGCUCUUUCGCAAGGGAAGAAAUUUUAUUGUCGAAUAAACAGUAAAGAUGACGGUACCUUGAGAAGAAGCACCGGCUAACUACGUGCAGCAGCCGCGGUAAUACGUAGGGUGCGAGCGUUAAUCGGAAUUACUGGGCGUAAAGCGUGC
rnacentral:rRNA from 1 species